rnacentral:lncRNA from 1 species
UAUAUAUACUAUUCUAUUAUAAUUUCAACUUUUGUAUAACCCACUGUUUCUCACGCAAGUAACAAAAAGCUUGAUAGUUGGUAUUUAAAGUCUUAAGUUCGAAGCCAAAUUACUUUAUAUUUUCAACUAAAUUUAUUUUCUAAAAAAAAUAAAUGAAACGGAUAGCAUAUCACUAAAUUUCUCUUGUAAAAAAGCAUAUAUAAUAUUCUUAUAUUAGCAUCGCGGUCUUUUUAAAUUUAGUAAUGCUUUGGAUUCUAAGUCACCAACCACACCAUCUCCGCAUCAUCUCUUAGACUCGACCGCUUCGCAUAAUCAACUUUCACAUCAUCUUCUCAUGAAAAAUUUGAAAAUUUGAUGAAGCGACUCGGUAACAACAUAAC